UCAACAUGUGAAAGCUGGGGGGACACAAACAUUCAGUCCAUUGUACAUCUGCUGCAUUAGCACUCUCAGCAGGUGGGUACUGGUGCUUAGGCUUGACAUCUCAUGGUCACAAGACGGCUGCCACAGCUCCAGGCAUCACAUCCGCACACAACUGUCCAAAAUAGGAAGGGAAGAGAAGGAGCAAAGGAGCCUACACCUCACGUGGCUUUCUCUUCCACUGAAGAGGAAAAACUUUACCUUGAAGCAAACUGCCACUCACCGGGCCCUCCGGAGAUUUCUCUUUACAUUAAUAUCACUCGAAACGGGACCACAUGGCCACCCAAGACCAACGAGGGGCAGAGUACACAGACUCCCACGGUCACCUGAGACACAGUGAGAUUUGUCUUCCGAUCAUCUUCUGAGUUAUACACAAUUCAAGCCAAGAAGGUUCCGCAGUGGGGAAGAGAGCAGACAAGACCACUGCCCUUUCUCCACCACGGGCUGCUGUGAGGGGCCAAGGAAACGGCAGAGGGACCUUUGGAUGGAAACCUUGGCAGCACGCGGAAGGGCUGUCUCCUGUCCUAGGGGCGGCCCGAGACGCCAGACAAGUGAUGGUGGUGGUGACGAUGAUGAUGGUGACAAUGGCAGCCAUGAUUUGUUACCACUCUGAAGACCUUGCUUGGCGUCAGGCACCCUAUAAGCCUUUAUGUGCACGACAUUGGCUCCAUCGUGACCCCCACUUCAUAGAUGAGGAGCCUGAGGUCCAGAGUGGUGUACCAUUUUCCAACCACAGCUUGGGAGCUCACUCUGCCCCUGCGCCUUUGCACAUGUGAAUUAUCUGCCUGGGAUGCCUCCUCUGCUUCAGCCGAUUGUCACCCCAUUCUUAGGGUCCGGAAUGAGUCCCCGCUUCCUUCAAGACGCCUUUUGUAUCUGCUCUGUGGUUGAGCCCACCAGCUUUGCUUUUUAGGACAGUACAUAUUGUGUGUUUUCAGAUCUCCUCUGAGUUUUAAAGGAUUAGGAAGGGACGUAGAAGGGGACAAGGCAAUAGAUGGGCUUAUAUCUUCCUGUUCUUCCAAAGCGCUGUGACCUUGGAUCUGCUCCCUAACUCCUCUGAGCCUCAUCUUGUCCUUGUAUAGGAGGUGAGUCUAGUGAAGAACCCAUCCCUAGCUAACUCACAGGCCCUUGUGGGAGGGCUGGGCA